CAGUAGCCGCGGGAAUACGAAGGGUGCAAGCGUUAAUCGGAAUUACUGGGCGUAAAGCGCGCGUAGGUGGUUUGGUAAGAUGGAUGUGAAAUCCCCGGGCUCAACCUGGGAACUGCAUCCAUAACUGCCUGACUAGAGUACGGUAGAGGGUGGUGGAAUUUCCUGUGUAGCGGUGAAAUGCGUAGAUAUAGGAAGGAACACCAGUGGCGAAGGCGACCACCUGGACUGAUACUGACACUGAGGUGCGAAAGCGUGGGGAGCAAACAGGAUUAGAUACCCGAGUAGUCCCUGUCUCUUAUAU
rnacentral:rRNA from 1 species